rnacentral:rRNA from 1 species
AACGAACGCUAGCGGCAUGCCUAACACAUGCAAGUCGAACGAAGGCUUCGGCCUUAGUGGCGCACGGGUGCGUAACGCGUAGGAAUCUGCCCUUAGGUACGGAAUAACUCAGGGAAACUUGUGCUAAUACCGUAUGAUGUCGAAAGACCAAAGAUUUAUCGCCUAGGGAUGAGCCCGCGUUGGAUUAGCUAGUUGGUGAGGUAAAGGCUCACCAAGGCGACGAUCCAUAGCUGGUCUGAGAGGAUGGUCAGCCACACUGGGACUGAGACACGGCCCAGACUCCUACGGGAGGCAGCAGUGGGGAAUAUUGGACAAUGGGCGAAAGCCUGAUCCAGCAAUGCCGCGUGAGUGAAGAAGGCCUUCGGGUUGUAAAGCUCUUUUACCCGGGAAGAUAAUGACUGUACCGGGAGAAUAAGCCCCGGCUAACUCCGUGCCAGCAGCCGCGGUAAAAC